CAAGAUGUGGAAUGGGGACCUUGCGUCUAAGAACCGCCUUUGUGGUCUUCCCUUCGAGGGCUCCCUUCUCUUCGGUACAGGCCUGGAUCAGGCCCUGACUAGGUCCUCAGAAAAAGGGUUGCGUUUUCCUACUAAGCCUAGACAAAACAAGAAAAAGUUUUUUCGAGGCCCCCAUGGGGGGUUUGGAGGUAAGAACCGUUCCUCGGAGAAAAAGCCCCCUUACAACAGACGUUGGGGUGCUGGGAAGGAAAAACAAAAAGGGGGGGACGCCAGCUCAUGGGGAUGGGGCGCACAUCUGGACGAUCUCCGUGCCCAGGGUACCUGGGGACAACGACAGAAGGGGGCCUCUUCAAAUUACCGCAAGCUAUUAGCGGUCGGAGAGGCUCUGAAGGCAUUCGAGGACAGAGUCUUGGACCAAGAGGUCCAGAUCGUUUCCGACAAUGCAACCGCGGUGGCCUUCCUCAACCAUCAGGGGGGCACCAGAUCUCGCACCCUUCUAGACUUGUCCCUAGAGAUCCUGGGCUGGGCCGAGCAGAG